CGGUGCUGGAGGCUUUUGCCCCAGCCAGCAGAUUCACUGUUUGACUGUGGUAAAAAGCAGAAAGCCCCGAGUAAUUUUUUCAAAUUAACCCGAGGCCCCUGUAUGCUAGUCACAUUCAGAGUAGCCUCUUACCCGCUUAAAUGCAAGGAGAAGAAGGCCAUG
rnacentral:antisense_RNA from 4 species